UCCAGCUGCAGUUUACUCAGCAGUGAGAACUGAAGACGUCACUUAUGGAAAAAUCAUCACAGACAAGAACAAACGAUCACAGACGAGAGAGACAGAUGCAGCUGCAGGGAGAACUGAAGACGUCACUUAUGGAAAAAUCAUCAAAGAGAAGAAAAAGCGAUCAGACAUGAGAGACUUUAAACCAGAGCCAGACAUCAUCUACUCUUCACUGAAGUAGUCCACCAGUCCAACCACUGACGUCCAGCUGCUGGUCUCUAACUGGUCCUCCCAGCACCUCAGAGCAGAGGACAUCCACAGAUUUCAGAGAUUUUUACAUGUUUCACUUUCAUUUCUCUGUUAAUUCGACUCAAACAAGUCAUACUUCCUUAGUCUACGAGAAACAAACCAUAAAGCAGCUGACAUGAAAAAAACAACAGAUUUAAAAGUUGUCAGUUUCUGGUAGCAGCUGAAAUGUUUUCAUGAGUAAAAACUAAUUUUUUCUCCUUUUUGUAUUUGUUUGUUCUAAACAAAAACAGCAAAAAAGCCUAAUUAAAAUGUUACAAUUACCAGUAAAAGAGGAGAAAACCCGGCUUCUGUCACCACGUGGUCGCCACUGAAAAGGUUUUUUUUUUAAAAUCUGCUGCCAUCUACUGGCUACACUGAGUGUUACAGCAGAGCGGCUGCUUUAUAAAUGAAAAACAGAACAAGAAACCAGCGUUACUCUGCCAUCCAGAGGAAAUAUCUGGCUGUGCAUCAUGUUUCUGAGAUUUUUACAGUAACCUCAGUUUUCUGUGAAUUCCUUUUCUUUUGGAUGUUCCCUUUACUGGUCUCCAUAGUGACUCGUCAGCCUCCAUCCCAGCAUCCUCCUCCUUCUAACCAACCCUCUGUUGUAUUUCUAUUCUCCUCCUGCCUGCAGCUCCAUCUUCAUGGAACGCCAGGACUGCCA